AACGAACGCUGGCGGCAUGCCUAACACAUGCAAGUCGAACGAGACCUUCGGGUCUAGUGGCGCACGGGUGCGUAACGCGUGGGAACCUGCCCUUAGGUUCGGAAUAACUCCCCGAAAGGGGUGCUAAUACCGGAUAAUGUCUUCGGGCCAAAGAUUUAUCGCCUUUGGAUGGGCCCGCGUUGGAUUAGCUAGUUGGUAGGUAAAAGCCUACCAAGGCGACGAUCCAUAGCUGGUCUGAGAGGAUGAUCAGCCACACUGGGACUGAGACACGGCCCAGACUCCUACGGGAGGCAGCAGUGGGGAAUAUUGGACAAUGGGCGAAAGCCUGAUCCAGCAAUGCCGCGUGAGUGAUGAAGGCCUUAGGGUUGUAAAGCUCUUUUACCCGGGAUGAUAAUGACAGUACCGGGAGAAUAAGCUCCGGCUAACUCCGUG
rnacentral:rRNA from 1 species